rnacentral:tRNA from 1 species
GGGCUGGGGCUCAGUGGUAGAGCACUUGCCUGGCAUGUGUGAGGCACUGGGUUUGAUACUCAGCACCACA